AUAGAGGAUCAAUACUCGAGAGUUUGUCAUAUGCAAUAGCCUAUAUAAAGUACAUGCAGCAGCACCUACGUGCUAGCAACAAGACGUAGUUGUUUCUAUAUACAUCAGCGAGAUAGCAUCUGGCCUAUUGUUUUUGUUGGUCUGUCGGCAACAAACGAUCAAAGAAAUUCAGGUUUCCAUAGCAAUGUACAUAUACAGCUUAUUUGGUUUAAACAGCGUCCAACUGUCAAACAGACGCUUUCUAGCCAGCUUUAAUUCAGAUUUGGUCGAGCACUCGUCUAAAUAUCAGAAAAUUACAAUACAGCACAAAAGCAAAAGUAACAAAAACAUUUCCAAUGGGCGUCUGCUGAAUGCGCAAUGCAGUCUUUAUUGACUAAGGUUCUGCUUCUGUAUAUACUAAAACCGCUGGACAGUAUCAAAAAGAGAACGUCAAACGUUAUAUAGGAGUCUCCAGCAAUUUUCAUCAAUGACCUCAUUAUUGUUUUCAGUAUACUUUGCUGUGUCAUUAUUCGAAAGGAAAACCGCAAAAUUCUCUUUCCCUUCAGCUGAUGUGUGAAGUUCGUUGGGUCCGUUUACUUUUACAUUUGUUAUAAGGCCGUAUAUACGAUAUCAGAUUAUUUCAAGUCCAAUAAAAGCUUGGUGAAAAUGAUUACCUUUUACAGAAACGAAUGCUCCGUAUUAUUCCCAAGAAAAAGAUUGUUCGAUUUCAGAGAAGACGAAUUUUAUAUAUUUACAUUUCAGUUGUUAUCCAAGAUGACAUCAACCGCUGGUUUGCCCCUGUCUGACAUGUUAGCCUUCGUCCUAACCUUCGUAGCAUGCUAAGUUGAUAAACAUACACACAAAACAGGAAAGACGAAGCUUUUAUGAACAAAAUAUAGUCGAGUGAAUAGCAUUGGAUUCAAGUGCUGGACAUGUCUAGAAGUUGUUGUUAUACGAAGGUUGUUGCUAUACGAAGGUUUUUCUUACGGAAAAAUGUUGCACAAGGGCAGCAGUAUGACACAUCAGAAAAUGACACAAUCAAUGUACGUGACUUCGUGAGCACAUCACGAGAUGUGUUUGCAUAUACUUGGAGGGGACACUGACGUCUGCAUCAAUUCACAUUCGUAUAUUUUAGGUCUAUACGUAAUGUGCAGCUGAAUAUGCAAAGUCAUAUAGUCCCAGGCUUGCCUUUUGUAAUUUCUAAAUGCUGUGUAUAGCUGUUUUAGUCUUCGAAGGUAAUAGAAAUUUGAAUAAUUUUAGACUUUAUUAACAGUUUAUUGACUUGUUUGCCUGUGCAGUAAUUUUUUAAAAGUUAAUUUUCAACUCAUUGAAGAAAAAAAAAACAAUUAGUUAAUGAAGUUCGAGGAAAAAUAAUUUGUGUGUCUUCUAUAAUAUCGUUUUCUGAAAAUCACUAGAGAAAGGAAUCCAUAUCAAGACCCCAAUCCUAUAUAAUAAUAAGAAAGUAGUGUAGCUAUAAUAAUAGAAACUCGAUGAGAUAUAUAAAUUAGAAUAACAUUGUUUUCAUGAGUUUAAGCAACCCAAAUUUGAAGCGAGACAAACAUAUUUCGAUUGGGUAUGGUUGACUGGUUGCUUAACCGUAUGAAAAACAAGAUGUUAUCUUCAUUCUGUAUACACAUAUGAUAUGUAAGUCAGCUUCGCUUUCCUAUUGGUUCAGACGAAUAUUAAAAUGGCCGCCACGCAGCACGCCAGCACGUAUACAAUUUUUCCCCAGUUGUGCAUUGCAAACCAGUUUUUCCUGUUAGUAAAACAGCUGGCAGCAGUGUUCAAUCAAAUAACAAUUCUGAAAUUUGGUGCAACUCUUUCCCUAGGACGAAUUAUAAGCCUUGAAGCUUUUCGAAUGGGGAGCACAACCUCAUCGAGAGUCGAGUCCUUUUGAUAUAGCUGGAUUUUCUUACACGCCAUCUAUGCCCGCCGUAAAGGUAUAACGGGAAAUGCUGUAUCGUGAACUUGUUACACAAGAAAUUUGUCGUCUGGAAAGUUUCGUUGCGCCAACUAUCGGCAGUCCCGCAAAACGCAAAAAUCAGAUUGAAAAGAAAGUGAAAAAGUGAUUGCUUAAAAGACCGACAUUUUUCAACCUAUCGUGCUUGAUGGUUUUAUAUAAAGUCAAUCGAAUGUCUGCAGGGUAUUUAGAUUCAUUGCAACGGUAUAGUGUCAAACGCAUGCUUAUAUAGAUAAUCAAUUUUUGUCAAAGGUUCUUAAACUGACCUUUCUCAGCCCAAAAGUCUUUGGCUAACUCAACAUAUAGCUAUAACCUGUAGUGCUGUCCUUUUGAUUGCAUCAAAAUGUAGCCUACGAUAUACAUUAAAAGUGCUAUAUUUUGUGCCAAAUUCGUCAAGUGUAAAAGUGUACACAGCCUAUAGAUAUGUGUAAUGUCAUUUAAGACCUUUGACAAAUUUUUAGAAGUUAAUCUCAAAUUUAUAUCAGAAUAAAUAUGGUCUGAAAGAUGCGUAUAUAUUCACUCUCCGCGAUUUAUCCGCUAAAUAUAGUUUCCCGUUUUAUACAUCUUCAUUGAUAUUUAUUUUUGUCUUUGAAGGCAAUAUGCUGGGGCUCAAAUUUAUUUUAGCAUUCUCUGUUUUCUUUAAAAUAUAAGGUUUUCUUGUAAAUAAGUGAUUGACCAACGUUAGCCGUCGAAACCAUGCUUUUUGUAGCUAUCCCACAUAUAUAAGAUCUUAUACAUUUUCUUUGGCGUUUAACUAUUUCAUUGACCGCGGUAAAUGUUAAGAUUAUACCUUUGCUUAUGUAUAGGCCUGUGUCAUGUGCGCUUGUUUUCUAGAAUCUUUCACUCCAAAUCCCGGUCCUCCAAUCCCUGUUUAAUGUCCCGCCUACUCUUGAACAUAAAUAAAAACGGGACUUUCUUUGUCAUCGCUGCCGAGUCGGGAGUGCUGCUACCGGCGUAUCCCAGAAAUGCUGCUGCCCGUAUCUUGCUGCUGCUGUAUUUUGAUUCAAUGACAGAAAACUAUAGAGCAGAGUAUCGCUUGCCUUUGUUUGGAGUCUACUCCUGUAUAUCUAUUCUUCAUUGGCCCUGCUAUACUCACCUAAACAUAAAGAAAUGAUUUGACGUUCGUUUUUCUCCCUCCUACUCACGCUCUGAUUUCUUGGAAACGACAGUUGCAACGCAUGUUGCACGCCAGAAAUACUAGAUUGGCCGCCGUUUCUCAUCCUGUUCAGCAGCAGCGUGGAUUCCCAUUACAAACAAUUGACUCGUCGUCUCAUAUAAAUGUGCAGCUACAUAAGAUGAGAAAGUUUCGACUUGUGUUAACCGCCCAUCUUGUUCAUUUCCUUAUGCUGUCCAGCAUCGAUUUCGUGAGGACGACAACGCACUAGCGAUCAUAUUACAACCCAACUUUAAUAAUUGCCUCAAUAACUUUUUUGUUACAUUAUCAGUUAAGUAUAUAAUUAUAUAGAUGAUCAAUCUGAAUGUGUGGUGUAGUACUGCACUGCAAACAGCCUUACAGCACCAAGAAAUGUUUAAACAUAUUUAAAAGUAUAUAUUUAUUUAAAUAUAGUCAUAAAAAUACAAAACGUUUUUUCCCCUUUUCUGAGAAUAUUUUGUCGCUUAUCUCUGCCUCAAGCUUAUAGAGUGAUUAAAAUGUAAACGUUGGCAAACGUUGGCGAAUUCUAAAGAAAAAUAUUGAAAAAUAAAACUUGGAAUUGGACAAGUGGUUCUAAGUGUCCACAGUACGAAGUGCGUCGUCUGUUUCAGCAAAAUGGCUGACCAGAAUUAUUACAGUUUUUAGUCAGCUCGAUUCAGCAAAUGUGCCGGCCAUAUCUCAGAUUUCUGUCUGCUUUAUAUUGACUGUGUUGAUUAAACUAUAGGAGGACCUGGAGUAAUAGUUCCCUUUUUAUUGGAAAUCCAUUUAACUUCCAAGUGCUGCCAUCACACUAGUACUGGCUGUGAUAUGCCACUGCAGCAGCUGUGAUAUGUCAACAACUGCUCGUGUUUCAUUCAAAUAGUUUCCUCCUCCAGCACAGAGCAAAGCCAUUGCUAUGCGACUCGUGUUGCCAUCACAGCGUUGAUUCCAUCAGCUUCUAUAUCGAUUGAGUCGUCAACAGAUCAACCAAGCAGGUAGAUAUUUUUAUUUCUUGUCGUGUGUGAAUGCAGGAUCAAUACCGUGUCUGUAACUGACAGCAACGUAGACGCAGUAACCUUAACAAUCAAGAUUAUUUCAGUCCCACCUCUAUAUUUAUCAUAAAAUUGGAAUUUUUUUUUAAUUACUAAAGUUCAAUCAGAAAAAAAACACGUUUCAAUCAUCAGUCAGCUUCUUGUUUUUAAGUAUAACGAGACUGCUGUUGUGAGUCGGUUGCACAAUCUCAUCUGUAUUGACUUAGGUUGUGGAUGACACGAUCGUUGAAUCGUACGCCUCUAGUGGGGCAAUCGCACAAUGCUUGUGCUGGCUAUAUUAUACUCGUAUAUCUUUCUCAAUCCAACGAUUGUAUAUAGUCGUGCAUCAAAAAUUGUAUAUGUAGAUAAACCUCAUCUGCAUAUACGUAUAAAGGCCAUGGAUGGCAAUAAAUAAUUGCCUAAUGUCAUAUGCCUAAGCUGUCAAACAGCCAUGGAGAUUCUCGUCAGGCGAUGUUGAAUUUAGUUUUAAACGCUUCAUCAAAGCCAGAAAUCGUUAAAAAACUGAAAACCCCAUCCAGCUAACCGGAAAAUAUGUACCAAAUAGAGUUAUCUUGUUUAUAGAUAGGCAUUAUUAAUUAGGCUAUUUUAUUGAGCAUGUGUAGUCAAAAAUAAACAGUCUGGCAUUAAACGUCAGAUUCUUUUCCAAUCGAGAUUCCAUCCAGACAAGUCUGUGCUUUCCCUUAUAUGCAUGAGAGCUACCAUGUAUAUAAUAUACUAGAGCAGCAACCAUGUAGCAUUAUCAAUUUCUAAAAGUUCAUAUAAUAACAGCCAUAAAGAAAAUAUAAUUCAUCAGAUAAAAAUUAACUGUCUGGAACAAGAUAUACUCUACCAAGAUUUGUAUACGAGAGUGUCACUGAUUAUUUUUCUAAUCGUAUACUCUAUUUAUACUAUCUAGGCCCGUGUAUAUUACAAUUAUUUCCAUUUGAAAAAGUCUAUAUUCAGUAUCAAUAUAUUAUAAUGAUUUCUACAUAUACGUAUAUAAUGAGCGAAAAAACACUUAAGAAUUUCUCUUUCCAUCUUCUUGGAAGAAGCGUCUGGUUUAUUAACAGUUGUGAGUUGCUCACUGUAAAAAACCCAACAAGAAAAAACCUUAUAUCUAUAUUAAUCAUCGUCGCUCUCCCAUUGGUUGUAUCCCAUAUCAAAAUGGCUGCCACAAGACACAUGAUGUGGUGUACGUACUGUGGCAUUUUCACUUUUCCCUCGUACGUUUUCCCUACUCCCGAUAUUGCCGUAGAAUUUCCAAGAAAACGUCAAUUCUAUUUUAUUUAGACGGUUUGAUGAAGAAAAAAGAUUUCAGAGUGCGUUGUACUUCAUCACGAACAAGGAAAUACUUUUAAUAAUUUCAAGGUAAUGUGAUUUGAUAUUCAUUCAAAUGUUAUAUGGAAGUCUGUGGUCGUCAGAAUCGUAUUCCACAGCGCCAUGUAUGUUUCCCCCCUUGUCCAAUUUUGCUCUCAGUUUGUAGCAGUGUGAAAGGUGAGAGAAUUACGUAUAAGCAUAUAUUCGAUUAUUAUUUGUGUGCCUAUCCGGCUUAGACCAGCAGAAUAUUUAUAUUGACUAGCUAUAAUAUACUGCACAGAUCAGAUUAAAUUUCAAUGAAAGGACAACCAAGUUGAUGUAAUAUCAUACGUAUAGAUGUAUCUUUAUAUUAAAAGUUUGUUUAAUUGACAUUUGGUUAGUUUUCAUUAGAGUCGUCGAAAUGCCUAGCAUUUUGUUGGCUUCCCUACAAAAAUGACGCAGUGUACGAGUUAACAUUAGUUUAUUUUGAUAGACGAGCAUUGGCGCCAACUAUCGGCAGUCCCGCCAACUGAAAGAAUUGAUUCACAUUGGGAUAGGACAAUCCUUUUGUGCCUGUCAAUAUAGUCUCGUAAAAUAACUUGGCUCACGCUGAAGCACCUCCCGUGUCACACGUAAGUAAACAAAAGCUGCUGACCUAACCCAGUCAAAAAACGGGUGUGUGAAACACUUUUACGCCUUCAUUGGUUGCCCAAUAGCAGCAUGUCAGGCCUUGUUGCAGCUUUUAAAGUUAUGGGGCGUAAAUAAAUGCAAUUCUUCUCGUUUCAAGUGAAGCCAUUAAAAGACGAGACUAUAUAAUAAGGGAAAUAAGUUUUCACGAACAUAUUCCGGCUGUAGAUGUGUCACCCAAGUUGGCGACCAAUGAAGCACUCCAGCUCAUCUAAGCUGAGAUAGUCUUGUUACCAUGACACAUCAGCAACGGUAAAUGCUUUAUUAGAAGUGCGUCAUAUAGCUACUCUUAUACUUCCGUUGCACUGAAAUAUAUAUAGCUAAGAGCUAUCAAACUGACUCCGUCUAUCUGUAAAAUUGAGAAACCCAUUUAAUGCUGAUCGUCUUAUAUUGGGAGAAUUGUUGUUAAUGUAUAGGCCUGUAUAAUAUUCCAUCAUCAUAUCAUAAAACGCUUUUAUUGGCUAGACAUUCCCAUUUUAUGCCACUCGAACAGUAUAUAUAAUGUGCAUGCCGUAAUUGUAUUAAUCAUGCAAAUGAUUGUUCACGAGCUAAAUUAGACAUUAGUAUCCUGCUAUGCAACGGUAUACACAAGUGUAGAUAGUACGUAUUAACCUAACCUUAAAAACGGUGGCUGAUUGGCUGUGUCAUCAGUGAGGCGUAGUUUCCCGUAAAUCAUUUUUUCAAAGUCUAUUUUUCAGUUUUAAUUUUUUUUUAACUUAAAAGAAGCAAAACUAUAACGCACGUCAACAUAUUUAGUUGGCCCAUUCUUUUUAGUUUCUGUUAGCCUGUGUGAAAAAAACACUGAAACGCUAUAAAAGAAAACCGUGUCGUAACUUUUUAAUUGGACUGUUGUAUUGUGCACAUCACGUUUUUAUUCACAGUCCACAUACAAUGUCAACAUUAUUGCGCAGUAUGAAACAGAAGGUACAUGCUCGCGCCAACUAUCGGCCGUCGUGCCAACCGAAAGAAUUGAGUUGGUAACGAGAAACAACUUGUUAGCAAAGGUCCGGUCAUGACGACACCGAAAUCGUGAAACUUCCUGUGCUCAGCUUGUUAUUAGGUCCAAGGCCAUCAUCAUCUUCUGUAGAUUGUCAAGUCAACAUAAUCAUCUGUGACGUGUAUCCAUUUCCACAGUUGCAAUGUCUUUACUGCAGCAGUGACGCGUUACAUUUUAUUUCCCUUGCACAGACAGACCGUUAGAAAUCAAUACGAAAAACAAGGUCUCGACUUGUCGGCAUAAUAAGAUGGAUACGAAGCUACGCCUCAGGAAAUCAGUCAGAUUUAGAACAACUUCUGCUAUAUUCUGCCAGCAGUCUGUAAGUCUGUAAGUUAUCUUGACAUGCUAAGAAGUAAAUCUGUACUAAAAUCCCUUUUUACAACUUCCAGUUCCAAGUUUGGUAGUGUAUUGGUAGAUCUAGUUCAAGUUUUGUAAUGGAGUUGGUAAACCGUUAACGUGUAUGGAAAUAUGAAUGAAUUCUUGUGUAUUGCGACCACUUUCUUAGGAAUUUUUUAUUCAAACUAAUCUCACAGAUUAUUGGCCUUUGAGUACAAGUCUGUUAUAUAUUUGAAUAAAGUAAUAAAUAUAUCUAUAGGCUAUUUCCCAAUUCAAAAGAACUAUGUGUAAUCAUAAUGCUCAUAACGAUAACAAGUCUCUUUUUUGUAUUUUAAGUUGCUUUACAUUGUUACUUUUUGCUAUUUAUCGAUCUUUGCAAGUCCGUACGUAUACGUGCUGCUCUGGUCUGCUCUGUACGACUUCUUGGAAACCUGCCGAAUACACACUUUGCCCGUUAUAGUUCGAAAUUCUCAGUUUUUUCUCUUUUAUUUGUCUUCUUUAGUUUAUUUAGACUUUGUAAACCUACGUCAACAGUUGAAAACGUAAGAAUGUGUCAGCAAACAACUGUUUAGUUUGAAAGACGAUGGAAAUAUUGAUGUUCUUUGGCUUUUAUACUAAACUAACGGCAGAUUUGAAGUUUAUGCAUUUAUUUGAAACACGUUGAAGGAGUUCACUUGCAUUAUUUAAUAAAAUCUUAUGUACGUACAUGUCCCAGCAAAAGCAUCAUUUAUUGAAUUGCAUUAUCCGACCAUCGAUUUUCCCCUUGGAAACUUUGGGCUUCAAAUUCUAAUUCGACCGAAAAAACUACAAUAAACUUGAUUAUCCUAAUGGAUCCUGUUUUUUGUCAUACCCACUUCAAACUUAAAAUAUUUAUCACUUAAAUUGUGUACCUGAAUAUCCAAGUAGAAAAACUGUUGGCCGUAAAGUGCAUUUUAAUUAUUGAUCUGAACAAGAAAACGACGCAAAAAGAUAGUCUGCUGAUGCUGAAAUAUAUUUUAUUUCAUGUCAUUACAUUUUAUUUCACAUCAUAGCAAUUUGGCAAUUCAGCUUUUAAAUUUAAUUAAAAAAAAAUUUUGUCUAAAACAUUUGAUACGCGUAGUACUAAAUUGAUAAUUACAUCUGGCUAAUCAAUCAAUUGAUUCGAUUCAGUGCUUGAUUGCUCAUUGGUCGAGAGCCAUUCCAAAAUGGCCGCCACAGUGUAAAGAACACCAGUGUGAUCUGCAGCAGCCAGCCAGCCACAGCGACUUGUGUUGGGUUAGGUCGUCGUCCCAUUGUAAUGAGUCACCGACUCACCGUAUAGUUGUGUAGUUGUUUGCCUACGUGAUUUACCACAGCUGUUUUAAGUGAAUUAUUACAACCACCAUGCCCCUAGAGAAAGUACAGAAACUUUGAUAAUCCAACAACCUGUUCAAUACGGUCGUAAGCAUUCACAGGUCUUCACUCUUCACACAGAAUCUAUCACUAAUACGCCCACUGCAAGUCUGGAUGUCUAGUGAAAUAUCCACGUUCCCGCCACACAACCUAGAUCAAGAUAUUUCAUCUGUUUUUCAUUAUUUUGUUGAUGCUGGGAGCACUGUGAAUUUUUCGUGUGCCAAAAGAAAAGAAAAUUCUGAUUGUGGAGAGCGUUCCAGUUGAGUCACUUAUUACCAUACGACCGUGUCGACUCAACAACCUAGUCAACGAAAAAUGCCAAGAUAAUCAACCCAUUUCAUGUGCAACAAGUUUUGGCUUGUCAAAAACGUGCAGCAACCCCAUCUUUAUGUUCAAGGCCGCAAAACUCUCAACGACUUUCAACAGGAACCUCGAUUGCAGAGUUGUCUGCAACCUGUACAUUUUUCCUUUCUCACGUACUCGCCAACAUUCCGAUUCGUUUGUUUAUUUUGUGCUGAGUCAUUUUUUCUCACCACAUUUACAAGGUGAGAUAAGUUUACGACUCAGCUGAGGAAACGGUGGGGUAGGUUGUUUUGUUGUUUCGUAAUCAAUGUGUGGUCUCGUUCAACAUUUCUUUCGAUCCUUUUUACUUUCCACAGUUUUUGGAUCAACAAUCACAGGCAACAAUUCCAAGAAUUGUCUUUUUCGUUAUUCUUUAGAAGAGAAAGAAUUCCGAGAAUUUAAGCUAUUUAUUUACAUUCUCCAAAUCUUGUUGUUGGGGCUGGUGAUUUGGUUUGCAUAUUUUCAUUUUCAACUCAAGACGUAAAAGAAUGUUUGUUUUUAGGUAAUGGACAGUGUUGGCCAUCUAGCGGCGAUCCGUACUACUUCGUCGUCCCCCCUACGAUUCCGGAAUUAUUCCAGACGAGGAAUGGAAUGUGUUCUCUUUCCCAUCCGUGAAUGGAUUUCAUUUGGAUUAUAUUGAGCAUCUCGUCAUAUCUGUGAUGUUGUGUGUUGUAUGGAUACAAAUUCCUCGUCGGUGCUGAUGAGUGAUGACUAACCGCAACCGCACCUGUCAUAAACAACAAUAAAUCUCCAAACCUGACGUGGAAAUGCCAUAGAACAAGUUCCAAGUUGAGACUUGUGUUUCCAAAGGACCGGUCGAGCCACCGUCAACAUUUUCCAGUUGAUGUCGACUGUAGCGAGAUCGAGGAUGCGUACGGCUUGCAUGGCCACAGGUAUCGGGUCCGGAUAGGAGUUUCCACAGCUGACGCUGAUUGGGUGGAUCCCGGCAAC